AUGUCCAAGCCCAAUGAUAAAACGAUGAACAAAAUAUGGUUCCAAUUAUGCAUGUGGCUUGAAAAGACAACAACAGAUGAGAAAGUUACUACAAAAUGGGAGGUGCAUAAAUAUAAGUCAGACCCAAUGAUAUACAAAGUCUUUCACUGCAUCUCAAUUUCUUUGUAUCUUGGUAUGACCAUGAGCAACAGGAAUAUGCCUAAACUAUAUUACAUCAGAUCACAUUUAAUUUCAAAUUAUGUACAUAAUCAAAGAUAUACAUUUGUUAUAUCUGUUUAA